AAUUAUUAUGCUAUAGCAUUUUAUUAAUUUGUGACUAGUUUUCCAUGAUUUAAUUCGUGUGGCUUAACACAUGGUUUAUUUUCCACCACACAAUACUACACUCUCACUUGAUUAUUAUAAUCAAUUAGACAUGUGUGUUUUAAUCAAGUGGCUUAGUGGAUAAGCUUGAGCAUUUACUUGUUGGCUAAGCUUAGAAGCAAGUGGAUGGUAUUAAACAAAACACUUUCUCUUUCUUCUCACUUCCUCCCUAACUCACGGCCUCACCAUUUUCUCUCUCCAAUCUUCCUUUCCUCCAUUAAUCCUCCAUGAUCGAAGAAUACCAAGCUUUUUAGAUCAUCUCUACACCAAAGUCUUCCAAAGAUAUUGAUCUAAACACCUCUAUUUCCUUGGUAAAGCCUAGAGAUUAGUGGAGAUACAAGCUUGAAGAUUAGAAAGAAGAUUUUAUUUUUCUUUUUGAUUUACUUGAGUAAGUGUUCUAAUCUUAUGGAUCUAGACUCUAUAUUGAGAUAUAUGUGUGUAGAUGGAAGAUUGAAGCAAGAAAUCACCCCCUCCCUUUUUUUUUAAAGUUUUCGAAAAUUUUGGGGUUUUUACCCUUCAAAAAAUUUUCUUGUUCUUUCCUUGAAUUGGACUGAGAAAAGUGAUCUAUGUGAUGUUUGGUGAUGAUUGAUGUGUGUUUUGAAAAGCUACGUCUUGUGAUGCAAAGUUUGAUUGAGUUUAGUUUACCCAAAAUUGGGAAAUUUUGAGUUGAUGUCUUAAAUGAUGAAUUGAUGACGAGUAUGAGAUUAUGAGAUGUCUAAGAUGAUGAUUGAUGGAGUAGAUUGAGGAUGUGAUGUUAAUUGAUGAUUUUGAUGUGAGUUAGUUUGAUGAAAUUAAGGAUAUGUGUAUCUAUGCCCUAAAUUAUUAAUUGAUGGUUUAUAUGUAUGAUUAAAUGGUUUUAAUUGAUAGAUCUAAGGUUGGAUUAAAGUUUCAUGUGUAUUUGUGGAAUUUCAAAAAGUUUAGUUUAAUAAAAAUUAGGACUUUCAUGCCUAUGUGUUAAUUAAGUGAAUUGACUUAGGAUAAAUGAAAUUGAGCAUGAUAUUAGAGUCUAAUAAUGUUUGGUUAGGUCAAAUAUUGGUUAUAUAAAAUUUUGACUUAGUUUAGUUUAUACAAGUUUUUGGGUAUGCAUAUGAUGUAAGGUCGAUGCUUGGUUUAAUGAGGUUUUAUUUGCUAUACGAUCAUUAUGUGAAUGUUUGUCAUGCCUUAAUUAAGAGUCCACGUCGAUACGUGAGUUUUUCUUCAAGUUUAGUUUGCAGGAUAAAAGAGAGUCUAUGUAUGUGUAGUAAGUUAUAUGAUGCAUGAAGUCAUAUAUGUGUAAUUGAGUACUUUUGAGCAUGAAAAUGAGAUGAGAUUUAAAUUGAUGCGUUCUUUGAAACGUUUUUCUUGAGAUUUGAGUUUGAGAUGUAAGAGAAGAGUCGAGUUUGAGUUUUGAUGAGUAAUAUGUUCAUGCUUGAAUGUUUUUGAGUGUUAUAAGUGUUUAAGAUGAGUUUUGAGAAGUUUUCAUUAAGGAAGUGUAGAGUUGAGCAUGUUUGCUUGUGUGUUUGAGUUGGAAGUUAUUUUUGAGACGCACUGACCUACUGUUUUUGAUAGGUUAUUGUUACCCAAAGACCUUAAAAUUUUUAAGAUAAGUAUAUAUGAGAGUCUUGAGCAUACCGGUAAAAUUUCAAGUCAUUUGGACUUCGUUUAUUAUUUUUAUAAAAUAGAAAACCAAAACUGCUACAUUCUGCCAAAAUGUUCGGUGAGUAGCCAAUAGAGUCACCGUUUUCAGUAUCUUUCCCUGAUGUUUUGGAGCCAAACUUUUUAUUGUUAAGACAUGAGUGUCUUUUCUAAGUACCCACCAAAUUUAAAACCUUUUCGGCAACCUUUACUAUUUUUCAAAAAUCAAAGUUUUCGAUUGCUCAAAACUGUCGAAUAUGGUAGACUGUAGGAAAACAGUCAUAUCUCCUAAACUACUUGGAGUUUUUCAUCCUACUUUUUUUAAAUGAAACUAGACUCAAAGAGGUUUCAAAUGGUAUAGGUUAAGACUCCAGUGGAGUUUUGUACCGAGUCUGGUAAAGUUUUUAAAUCGAGUCAGUGCAGAAUGAAGUUUGUUUGCGACAUGUCUAUGUGUGAAUUGAUAUGCUUAUGUGUUUAUGCAUGUUUAUGUGCUUGAUUGCUACGAGUUUAAUCCGAGUUGAGUGUUAAGUCGAGAGUAGGAUGUGUAAAUUCUUAGAAGUUAAGUAUACCUAGGGAUUGAGAUUUAUUUGAGCAUAGACGUUGAGUGAUAAGUUAUAGUUUGAGACGAGAUUGGUUUUUAGAACUAAGGUUUGUCUUAUCACAUGAACCUUCGAUGACGAUGAUGAUGAUGAUUAUGAAGGCCCGAGCGAGACAAAGAAGUAAGUCGCCUGAUUUCUUUCCAGGUUGAGCGAAGGACUUCAGGCUAAGCGAUGAGCGAGAUUGGUCUGGUGCUGGUGGGGAAUUGUUUAGCUGAUGUAAUUACUUUAUCGCAUUUCUAUUGUGUCGAUAAAGUCUUGAGAAUUGAUAUACUUUGUUUUCUUUGGAAUCAAGCAAUUUACUCGCGGUUAUAUGUCUUCACACAUAUAAUCGAUUCGCCUUUUGUUGCGAUACUCUGAAUAUUAUGAUUCCUUAUGAAAAAUGAGCUAUACCUACUUUGUUUUUGAUCUUGAAGUUCCUGAUA